UUUCCGGACCAUUCCGGAAACCCUCGUGAUGUCCAUGAUCUUAUCCUGGACUCCGAACAACAUUCUUUAACCAACCAUAUAACUCAAAUACGCAUAAAACAACGUCGAACCUUAAGUGUGCAGACCCUAAUGAUCAACAUGCUACGUCUAUUAGUUUGGGUCUAGUCCAUCACAUGAUUCUCCUAAUGAUGUGAUCCCGUUAUCAAGUGACAACACUUGCCUAUGGUCAGGAAACCUUGACCAUCUUUGAUCAACGAGCUAGUCAACUAGAGGCUUACUAGGGACAGUGUUUUGUCUAUGUAUCCACACAUGCAUUGUGUUUCCAAUCAAUACAAUUAUAGCAUGGAUAAUAAACAAUUAUCAUGAACAAAGAAAUACAAUAAUAACUAAUUUAUUAUUGCCUCUAGGGCAUAUUUCCAACAUAAAGGGCACGUAGGCGGUGAAUCGGGUUGAAAAUGAAAGUCGCCAAAAAGUGGCGGAAUGCUCUCGAAACCAAUUCACUUGAGUGAGACAGAGGAGAGUGGAAUUUCGUGUGUAGGGGUGAAAUCCGUAGAUCUAUGAAGGAACGCCAAAAGCGAAGGCAACUCUCUGGGUCCCUAACGACGCUGGGGUGCGAAAGCAUGGGGAGUGAACAGGAUUAGAUACCCCGGUAGUCCAUGCCGUAAACGAUGUGUGUUCGCCCUUGGUCUACGCGGAUCAGGGGCCCAGCUAACGCGUGAAACACUCCGCCUGGGGAGUACGGUAGCAAGACCGAAACUCAAAGGAAUUGACGGGGGCCUGCACAAGCGGUGGAGCAUGUGGUUUAAUUCGAUACAACGCGCAAAACCUUACCAGCCCUUGACAUAUGAACAACAAAACCUGUCCAUAAUAGGAUGGUACUGACUUUCAUACAGGUGCUGCAUGGCUGUCGUCAGCUUGUGUCGUGAGAUGUUUGGUCAAGUCCUAUAAUUAGCGAAACCCUCGUUUUGUGUUGCUGAGACAUGCGCCUAAGGAGAAAUUGCCACCGUUGUGAGCCGAGGAGCCGAGUGACGUGCCAGCGCCACUACUUGAUUGAGUGCCAGCACGUAGCUGUGCUUUCAGCAAGAAUUUCACCAUUGGGAGCCGGUGCCUUUCAAAGCACUUUCACGUGUGAACCGAAGUCGUCUUGCCCAAGACCCACGGAGACCUACCUAUAGUGACGUCAAAGUACCAGUGAGCAUGGAGGUUUGGUUGAAAUUGGUUACGACGAUGUCGAGUUGGCGGCGGAGGAAGACUCGGCAUGAAGGCCAGCCACCCGGUGGUGUGGUACGUAGUGGUAAUAGUACGCGCCCCGCUCCGAAACAAAGAAAAAGGUGCGUGCCGCACUCACGAGGGACUGCCAGUGAGAUACUGGAGGAAGGUGGGGAUGACGUCGAGUCCGCAUGGCCCUUAUGGACUAGGCCACACACGUGCUACAAUGGCAAUGACAAUGGGAAGCAAGGCUGUAAGGCGGAGCGAAUCCGGAAAGAUUGCCUCAGUUCGGAUUGUUCUCUGCAACUCGGGAACAUGAAGUUGAAAUCGCUAGUAAUCGCGAAUCAGCAUGUCGCAGUGAAUAUGUACCCGGGCCCUGUACACACCGCCCGUCACACCCUGGGAAUUGGUUUCGCCCGAAGCAUCGGACCAAUGAUCACCCAUGACUUCUGUGUAUCACUAGUGCCACAAAGGCCUUUGGUGGUCUUAUUGGCGCAUACCACGGUGGGGUCUUCGACUGGGGUGAAGUCGUAACAAGGUAGCCGUAGGGGAACCUGUGGCUG
rnacentral:rRNA from 1 species